rnacentral:lncRNA from 1 species
GUGGUCAGGAAUGAUAUACCACUCGCAAUCGUGGUAACAAGAUUGGCCCUGCUAACCCUCUCUUACGUGGUAGAGGUAGAGGGAACAAGGGACAAACAAGGCAGGGCAACAAGGGAACAAGCUAAACAAGGAAGAUCCACCCAAAAGCUUCUGAGUGCUUUUAACAAUCUGCUGAUUGCCAAAAACCACGUUAAAAAGCCGGUUACAUCGACUCCCAGCUCAAAUUUGGACGAAGCAAUGAUUCUGUAACACAAUGCUAAUAUGAAUAACGUCUCCAAGGUAAGAAAUUCAUGGAAAUUUCAUUGUAUUUUGAAUUUAAUUCGUCGAUCCAUCUACAAAGGCUCUGCAUAGGCUUCCUGCUUGUGCGCACCACUGCCACAAAAUUCCUAUCUUGAUUUCCUUUUGUCGUUCACAAUGAUAUUAUUAAUUACUCCUAAUACAAUCUCUUUUAACAGUCCAUAACGUAUUUCUCUCGUAGUUCAUUUAUUUAGGCACAAACCACCGGGGAAAUCCCACACCUCAAAACAAACCAGCGUCAAUGAUAAGUGUAAAAAUUUGCAAGAACGUGCCAACUUACUCUCGCCUUCGCGAAAUCUUUCACGAGGUGGCGAGGGUUUGAUAGAAUAGAUAUGUAGGAUAAAUAAAUUCUGUGAUAUCAU